GAUGAACGCUGGCGGCGUGCCUAAUACAUGCAAGUCGAGCGAACGGACGAGAAGCUUGCUUCUCUGAUGUUAGCGGCGGACGGGUGAGUAACACGUGGAUAACCUACCUAUAAGACUGGGAUAACUUCGGGAAACCGUAGCUAAUACCGGAUAAUAUUUUGAACCGCAUGGUUCAAAAGUGAAAGACGGUCUUGCUGUCACUUAUAGAUGGAUCCGCGCUGCAUUAGCUAGUUGGUAAGGUAACGGCUUACCAAGGCAACGAUGCAUAGCCGACCUGAGAGGUGAAUCGGCCCACUGGGACCUAGAACCGGGCCCAACCCCCUACGGGGGGCAGCGUGGGGAAUCUUUCCGAAAGGGCGGAAACCCUGACGGAGCAACCCGGGGGGGGGAAUGAGGGUUUUCGGUUCUUAAACCCUUUUUAUUGGGGAAAAAAAAAUGGGUAAAUAACUUUGCACAUCUGGCGGGUACCAAAGCAAAAAGCCCCGCCAACCUCCGU
rnacentral:rRNA from 1 species